rnacentral:rRNA from 1 species
GAUGAACGCUGGCGGCGUGCUUAACACAUGCAAGUCGAACGGAAAGGCUCUUGCUUGCAGGGGUACUCGAGUGGCGAACGGGUGAGUAACACGUGGGUGAUCUGCCCUGCACUUCGGGAUAAGCCUGGGAAACUGGGUCUAAUACCGGAUAGGACCACAUUUUGGAUGGUGUGGUGGAAAGUUUUUCGGUGUGGGAUGAGCUCGCGGCCUAUCAGCUUGUUGGUGGGGUAAUGGCCUACCAAGGCGUCGACGGGUAGCCGGCCUGAGAGGGUGUACGGCCACAUUGGGACUGAGAUACGGCCCAGACUCCUACGGGAGGCAGCAGUGGGGAAUAUUGCACAAUGGGCGCAAGCCUGAUGCAGCGACGCCGCGUGGGGGAUGACGGCCUUCGGGUUGUAAACUCCUUUCGCUAGGGACGAAGCGCAAGUGACGGUACCUGGAGAAGAAGCACCGGCUAACUACGUG